AUGCAGUCGAGCGGAACGAGUUAUCUGAACCUUCGGGGGACGAUAACGGCGUCGAGCGGCGGACGGGUGAGUAAUGCCUAGGAAAUUGCCCUGAUGUGGGGGAUAACCAUUGGAAACGAUGGCUAAUACCGCAUGAUGCCUACGGGCCAAAGAGGGGGACCUUCGGGCCUCUCGCGUCAGGAUAUGCCUAGGUGGGAUUAGCUAGUUGGUGAGGUAAGGGCUCACCAAGGCGACGAUCCCUAGCUGGUCUGAGAGGAUGAUCAGCCACACUGGAACUGAGACACGGUCCAGACUCCUACGGGAGGCAGCAGUGGGGAAUAUUGCACAAUGGGCGCAAGCCUGAUGCAGCCAUGCCGCGUGUAUGAAGAAGGCCUUCGGGUUGUAAAGUACUUUCAGUCGUGAGGAAGGCGGCGUCGUUAAUAGCGGCGUUGUUUGACGUUAGCGACAGAAGAAGCACCGGCUAACUCCGUGCCAGCAGCCGCGGUAAUACGGAGGGUGCGAGCGUUAAUCGGAAUUACUGGGCGUAAAGCGCAUGCAGGUGGUUUGUUAAGUCAGAUGUGAAAGCCCGGGGCUCAACCUCGGAAUAGCAUUUGAAACUGGCAGACUAGAGUACUGUAGAGGGGGGUAGAAUUUCAGGUGUAGCGGUGAAAUGCGUAGAGAUCUGAAGGAAUACCGGUGGCGAAGGCGGCCCCCUGGACAGAUACUGACACUCAGAUGCGAAAGCGUGGGGAGCAAACAGGAUUAGAUACCC
rnacentral:rRNA from 1 species